UACGAAGGGGGCUAGCGUUGCUCGGAAUCACUGGGCGUAAAGCGCACGUAGGCGGAUUGCUAAGUCAGGGGUGAAAUCCUGGAGCUCAACUCCAGAACUGCCUUUGAUACUGGCGACCUUGAGUCCGGGAGAGGUGAGUGGAACUGCAAGUGUAGAGGUGAAAUUCGUAGAUAUUCGCAAGAACACCAGUGGCGAAGGCGGCUCACUGGCCCGGAACUGACGCUGAGACGCGAAAGCGUGGGGAGCAAACAGG
rnacentral:rRNA from 1 species